GAGAGUCCGGUCCCCUGUGAGGCUCGGGGAAGCCCUCCGGGGCCUCCAGGCCGGCAGGGACAUCCGUGAGCUCGGCCAUGAGGGAGCCCGGGCCGAGGGAGCCGUAGCGCCGGAGUGAGCUGGCCGGCCGGCCGCGCCUGUGCACAGUGGCUGGGGAUGGACCUCGGGGGCCGGCCCAGGAGGAGGCGGCCCCGGUGGCUGUUCGAGCGUCCUGAGGGCUCUGGGCACCUCUGGCGAGCCGGGCUGUGGGAGGGGUGAAAGUCUCCUCUUUGCUCCGACACUCUGACCCACGGCUCGUCUUCCCUGGCCAGAGUUGGCGAGGCGGCUCCCCAAGCUCACUGCCACCAUCACCCUGCUCGCCCUGUGACGGGCCCAGGUCAGCGGCGGCCCCGGCACCUGGUCUGACUGCUUUGGCGUCCCACGGCGGGUCUGGGGCCUCCCGGCCCACGGGGAGCUUUCACGGACCGGACGGGGCGGCCGCUGCCUGGCCUGCUGUCGGGGGCUGGCCGGAGAGCUCCGCUUCUGACCGGCGGUGACCGCCCUCCGCCCUUCUCCCGCCAUUGGCUUCUUCCUCCACGAAGCAGGGAGGUGGGACCCGCUGGCAGGAGUCGGGCACCUCCGGGGAAGCGUCGGCUGCCAGUUUCCUGAAGUGUGAGGGACCAGGAAACAAUUGAGCAAAACGCAGGGAACUCCGGCUGCCGCUCCGGGCCGGCGCUGACCCCCGAGGGCCAGAGGCUAACAGCGGGCUUAACUCUGCUCCCUGCUAAAGUGGUACCAGAUGUCCAAUUCCCUGGCGGCAGCCGCAGCCCCCUGAGGCCCCAUCCCUGGCCGCGAGCUUGUGGGACCUGCUCGGCGGAGGCUGGCAGGGGUAGGACCCGGGGCGCCAGGCCUGGGCAGGCCCAGAGAGCCGCUGGCCAGAGUCAGGCUGUCCUUGGACCAGGAAUUCAGGCAGGUGAAACUGGCACCUUGCCAGGCACCGGGCAGGCGGAGAAAAGCAGAAACAGGUGCAUCUUGCCUCACACAGGAAGUGUGCCUGCUGGGGACAACUCACCGGGAUGUCCGGGGCUCGAGAAACUCUGAAUGCGCCUGGAGACACAGGCUCUGCCACCCGUUAUUUAGGCGUGUGCUUGGAGGUUUGGGUUUUAUAAGUCUGACUUACAAAAAGGAAUAAUACGGGAACACGCUUUUGUGGGAUGACACAUGUAGAACCCAGAUGGAGCUGCUUGUCAGGUCUGAAAGGGGGGAAGGAAGGAGGAGAAGACAACAUGGAUCACGUGACUCUGGAAAACUAGGUGGA
rnacentral:lncRNA from 1 species